UACGUAGGGACCGAGCGUUGUCCGGAUUCAUUGGGCGUAAAGAGCUCGUAGGCGGCUGUUCAAGUCGAACGUAAAAACUCGGAGCUCAACUCCGAGCCUGCGUUCGAUACUGGACGGCUAGAGUCUGGUAGGGGGAUCUGGAAUUCCUGGUGUAGCGGUGGAAUGCGCAGAUAUCAGGAGGAACACCGAUUGCGAAGGCAGCUCGCUGGGACGUAACUGACGCUGAGACGCGAAAGCGUGGGGAGCAAACAGG
rnacentral:rRNA from 1 species